rnacentral:lncRNA from 1 species
CCAGAGAUUACGGGUCAAGACAACUAGUUGAAUCAGCUUGGAUGGUUCAGUUUGAGUUACGUUUUGGUGCAUCUCAGUUUUCCUCAUUGACCGUUCUCAAGUUUCUUACAAGAUAAUCUUUUUCGUUAAGCAUGACUAUGAAAAGAGGAGAUGCAAUUGGAAGAAGAACUAAUAUCAACAACUAACAACCCAAUAGAAUUCCACUAAAGGGGUGCGUACGCAUAUCUUACUUCUACAUCAGAGAGAAUGGAGGAAGAACUAAUAUGAUGCUCUGGAAACCAUGGACAACUUCAAGUUGCUCAUAUAGGCCAGGUCUAUACCCCAGGAAACAUGCAAAGGGCUAUUAGCUUGAGCAGCUGAGGUACCAUUCACUAGGAGUUGCCAGAGUUUUGAGGAAAGAAGAACGAAUUUGUAUCCUCUUAAACAGAAGCUAAAGGCACAAACUAGAAUGGAGAUGCUUACUUAAAAUCUGGUGCUCUUAUGUAGUGAUCUUCCCACUCCAUAGGAAUUUCUUCUGCUAUGAGCAGAUCUACAUUUGGCAGUUGUUGUGAUGGAUUAAUUUAGGCAUACAUAAAGCCCCAAAAACCAAACAAAGAAAAAACCAACACAAAGAAAGACACUUGGUCUACCCAUCAAUAUAGCAAUUCCAUACCAAUGCUCCACUUCAAGUCUCUUACACCACAACAAGAGCAACACAGCUUUGAAGAUAAUGUAAGCAACUAGAAUCCAAGAGCCUUUUCCAGCCAUGCGUCAAUAGGAAGAAUCUAUUAGGAAAUAUUGUAAAUAUCUUUUGUGUAUCUUUUUAUUAUGGGUAGAAUAUUCUCUCAU